AGAACGAACGCUGGCGGCAUGCCUAAUACAUGCAAGUCGAACGAACUCUUCGGAGUUAGUGGCGCACGGGUGCGUAACGCGUGGGAAUCUGCCCCUUGGUUCGGAAUAACAGUUGGAAACGACUGCUAAUACCGGAUGAUGACGAAAGUCCAAAGAUUUAUCGCCAAGGGAUGAGCCCGCGUAGGAUUAGCUAGUUGGUGAGGUAAAGGCUCACCAAGGCAACGAUCCUUAGCUGGUCUGAGAGGAUGAUCAGCCACACUGGGACUGAGACACGGCCCAGACUCCUACGGGAGCAGCAGUAGGGAAUAUGGACAAGUGGGCGAAAGCCUGAUCCAGCAAUGCCGCGUGAGUGAUGAAGCCUUAGGUUGUAAAGCUUCUUUACCGAGAUGAUAAUGACAGUAUCGGAAGAAGUAAGCCCCGGACUAACUCCGUAGCCAGCCAGCCGA
rnacentral:rRNA from 1 species